GUGCUGCAGGAAAGCGAUGAGCCGGAGUCCAUCUCAGCCAAGCUCUUGGGAUUCUGUCACCAUGGAGACUGAGAGUGAGCAGAACUCCGGCUCCACCAGUGGGAGCUCCAGCUCUGGGGGAAGCACCCGUCCUCAGAUAUCACAGAUGUCUCUGUAUGAGCGGCAGGCUGUUCAGGCUCUUCAGGCACUCCAGAGACAGCCCAAUGCAGCCCAGUACUUUCAUCAGUUUAUGCUCCAGCAACAGCUUAACAGUGCCCAGCUUCACAGCUUGGCUGCUGUCCAGCAGGCUACUAUUGCAGCUAGUAGACAGGCCAGCUCACCAAACACCAGCACCCCUCAACAGACUACCACCACCCAAGCCUCUAUCAACCUAGCCACCACAUCAGCUGCUCAGCUGAUCAGUCGUUCACAGAGCGUGAGUUCUCCCACUGCCACAACUCUGACGCAGUCUGUGCUCCUUGGGAACACCACUUCACCACCUCUCAACCAGUCGCAGGCACAGAUGUAUCUCCGGCCGCAGCUGGGAAACCUGUUGCAGGUAAACCGGACCUUGGGCCGCAAUGUCCCUCUUGCUUCCCAACUCAUCCUGAUGCCUAAUGGGGCCGUGGCUGCUGUCCAGCAGGAGGUACCACCCACCCAGUCUCCUGGGGUCCAUGCAGACACAGACCAGGUUCAAAACUUGGCUGUGAGGAGCCAACAGACCUCAGGCACUAAUGCCCAGCUCCAAGGCUCUGCUCAGAAGGCGGCUCUGCCAGGAAACUCCCAGGCUUCAGGCCUACCACAGGCCACAAGUACAGGCCAGACUGUGGCAGUGGCUCCAGCCUCUUCUGGCAGCAUGGGCCAGUCUCUCAACUUGAGCCAAGGGGCAGCAGGCAGUAAUGGUGUCUCCGGGGGUGUGGUUGCAAGUAGUGGGAGCCAGAAUUCUACAGCAUUGAGCCAGACGGCCUCUGCAGGUGCUGCUGGCAGCUGCCAAAGGAAAGGAACGGGAGUGGUUCAGCCAUUACCAGUAGCAGCUGCCCAAGCAGUGACUGUCAGCCAGGGAAGCCAAACAGAGUCAGAGAACGCAGCCACAAAGAAGGGUGAAACGGACAGUGGUGGACAGCAGACUGUGGGCAUGAACCUUACCAGGACAGCUACACCAGCACCCAGCCAGACAUUGAUUAGCUCAGCUACAUAUACACAGAUUCAGCCACACUCACUGAUCCAGCAGCAGCAGCAGAUCCACCUGCAGAAACAGGUGGUAAUCCAGCAGCAGAUUGCCAUUCAUCACCAGCAGCAGUUCCAGCACCGCCAGUCCCAGCUCCUCCACACAGCCACCCACCUCCAGCUGGCCCAGCAACAGCAACAGUCAUCAUCUCUGACCCAGCAGCAGCAAGCUCAACCUCCACAGCAGCAGGCUCCACCUCAAAACCAGCAGCAGACUCAGACCCUUGUGGUGCAACCUAUGUUACAGUCCCAGCCACAGUCUGUUCAGCUCCAGCAUGACAGUCCUAGCCAGCCAGCCACCAAGUCACCUGUUCCAAUUCAGUCAAAGUCUAUGGUCACCAUCAAACCACCUCAGCUUGGGCCUGCCAAAAUGUCAGCAGCACAGCAGCCUCCACCACACAUCCCUGUGCAGGUGGUGGGUACUCGGCAGCAGGGCUCAGGCCAAGCCCAAGCACUGGGUAUAGCUCAGAUUGCUGCAGCUGUACCAACUUCCCGGGGAAUGCCAGCUGUGGUCCAAUCUGUUUCCCAAGCCCAUGCUCCUUCCCCACCUUCUUCAGCUCCAGUAUCCUCGCAGGAAGCUCCUCCUCUCACUACAGGGGUGAAUUUGGCACAAGUUCAAGGUACAACCCACAUGGUGAAGAAUCCUACCUCCUCUCCAGUUGUGGCUCAGAUGCCAACAGCAUUCUACAUGCAGUCUCUCCAGUUGCCAGGCAAGUCUCAGAGCUUAGCAAUAAAGCGCAAGGCAGAGUCAGAGGAGGAGAAGGAGGUAUCAGCCAGUGUCACUGCACUAAUGCCUGCCAGGUCCUCUCCUGUGACAGAUAGCCCCAAAAAUGUGGAGGAAAAUAAUGGCCAUGGAGAUAAAUCUGAUUCUGCUGCUACUGCAACCCCAAAUGCCACAUCAAGUGAAGGAACAUCAGUCACCUCGACUUCUGUUCCCACUGCAAACCUGGCAAUGGUGUCACGUCAGACAGGAGACUCCAAACCUCCACAAGCCAUUGUUAAGCCCCAGAUCCUCACGCACAUAAUAGAGGGCUUUGUCAUCCAGGAAGGAGCAGAGCCCUUUCCGGUGGGUUGUUCUCAGCUGCUAAAAGAAUCUGAGAAACCUUUGCAGGGAGGGGCUCCUGGCCAGGGUGAAAACCUGUCCAGCAAUUCUCCAGGAGGGAACAGUGCUUCUAUGGAUCUUGAUAAGAAAGCAAACUUGCUGAAGUGUGAAUACUGUGGGAAGUAUGCCCCAGCUACCCAGUUCCGUGGCUCCAAAAGGUUUUGUUCCAUGACCUGCGCUAAAAGGUACAAUGUCAGCUGCAGCCAUCAGUUUCGGCUGCAGAGAAAGAAGAUGAAAGAACUCCAGGAAGCUAACUAUGCUCGAGUGCGCCGACGGGGAUCACGGCGCAGCAGCUCUGAAAUUACUCGAACAAAGAUCCAGGGCAAGCGUCACAGGGGCCAGGAGGAUUCAAGUCGAGGUUCUGAUAAUUCUAGCUACGAUGAGGCUUUGUCCCCUACAUCUCCAGGACCUCUGUCAGUGAGAUCUGGCCAUGGAGACAGAGACCUGGCAAACUCUAAUAUGGCCCCACCUACCCCAGAUCUACACGGCAUCAACCCUGUAUUCCUGUCCAGCAAUCCCAGUCGUUGGAGCGUGGAGGAAGUGUAUGAGUUCAUUGCAUCACUGCAAGGAUGCCAGGAGAUUGCCGAAGAGUUUCGGUCACAGGAAAUAGAUGGCCAGGCCCUGUUGCUUUUGAAGGAGGAACACCUCAUGAGUGCUAUGAACAUCAAGCUAGGACCUGCUCUCAAGAUAUGUGCCAAGAUCAAUGUCCUCAAGGAGACCUAACAGCUCUGAAGCUAGCAGUUUCAAUUUUGCUCUGACCCCAGAGCAGCUGCCAGCUUUAAGACAUUCUGUUGGGGCAAGGAAUGGGACAAUCCCAUGUGGUCCUGCAUUCAAGAAUGAAAAGGAAUUUAACUGCCUGAAACUGCCAUGCACAAGCCCAUGUCUUGAUCUUUGAAUGGUGCUAUAACAAGGGAGGAAAAUUCCCACCUGGGGCCUUUGAAACUUCCUUCCUUCUUUGGAUAUGCCUCUCCCAUAUACCACAUCAAGAAGAGAAGGAGACUUCCUUCUGUUUUAGCAGCCUUGUAAAGGGGAAGUGCCCUUGCCCCUUUUUGCUGAAGCAGGUUUGCUGGAUCUUGGUUAUGCUGGAACCUGAGGUACAGGAAAUUCCUGCCCUGCAUGGUUUUGGGAGCAGCUGUGUGUGGAGUAUUUAAAAAGGUCCAAGUGGCAGAGGGGUACAGUGAUGUUUAGAGGAUAAUCCCCUGCCACUCAGCUCUCACAGGUUUUGUAAAGAUCAAGUUCUGAAUUUUUUAGCAUUUGCCAAAGAUGAAAAUGUGCAGUUCUCUUCCAGAAGCACCUUCACUUUUAAAAAAGCAAAAAGAAAACAAAAAACAAACUCUGGAAGAAAUUAUACAAAGCAUGAAGAGGUAAGUGUCCCCUACAGCUGAAUACCUGAAAGCAAGACUUUUUCCUAGGCCGUUUGUCUCAGCUUUUUUAUUUUCAGAAGUUUCACAUGCAUAUUUGAGUAAAACAUGAGACUGUUCUAUGUGCAAGGCACCUACUGUUGCAGGAGUGUUGUGGCAUGGGUGGAAGCUUAAUGGCACAAGAAACCAUCAGAGAUCUCUAUAACAGUCUCUGUAUUGACCCACCUCAUAAGAAGGGGGGGAGAUUCUAAACUGUAGUAUCAACUUUCCAGUUCUAACUGAAGUGUUGAGUCUGAAUUUAUUCUUGAUAUCUUCAUUCCUAUGAGAGAAGGAUUCUAAGCCUUCUUGAAUCAAAAUAGACCCAAAGGAAGCCACCAACUCUUGCACCUUGAAAACACUCUUCAGUCCAAUGAAAUUUGAGGGGACAAAAAAGGCAGAGGUGAGCACCUCUAAUGGCAAAGGAGGGCAGCCUUUAAACUAUUUUGUUAGCAGGCUGGGUAUGGCAAAACUUGUUUACUUUGGCUUUUGACAGGGUAGGCAGGUAGUAUUUGCUGCUUUUGAAGCAUAGAUUAACUUCAGUCACAUUUAAAGGUUUCACUUCUUCAUGUUACAUUCAGUGUUCUUAAUAAAAAUUGUUCAGGUUUUAAA